GUGGUCCAUUAUCACAUGGUGCGGCACCACACACAACAAUCUCUUCCUUCAAUUAUUGGCAUUAAAGCUCUUUGUUGUUUCAAGUAAAGUCCCUGCAACAACCCUCUCUUGUUUUUCUUUAAAAACUUGAUAAAGAAGCCUCUUAGGUUUUCUCAGUUGCUUACGAAGGUCAACAACAUCAGGAGUCUCAACUCCAGUUGGUGUGCUUGAAAGGCUAUCAACGGAAUGAACAUUGCCCUCCAACUCCUCUUCAUCAAGUUGUUCCUCCUCCUUUUCUUCCUCUUCUUCUUCCUCCAAAUCACCCCAAAAAAUGUUCUUUCCGUACUGAAUUGGAACCAGACUUACUGAAUCCAGAAGCUUCACUAAGGGAUGGGUUGUUAAAAUACAAUCUCAAUUCAAAAGAGUUACCUCAUGACCGUUUAUUUAAGUAUAUUUUGAUGUUAUGUUAAAAAACCAUCUCAUCUAAAAAAAUUAAAUUAUUAAAUAAAUUUUCAAAAUAUGAUUUAUAUAAUUCUCACCUGACUAUUGUUGUUUGACUUCGUACCUUUCUGUUGGUAAUGUUGUUGUUUAUCUUCUUUGGGCAUGGGUUUUCAGCCUCUCUUCUUUUCUGUGUUUGGGGCUGCAUCCCUUGCAAAAGACAGAAAUUGCAUCCAUGGCUAGGUGGAGUGUUCUCUGUCAGGAUUGUUUGCAGCACCUUCUUUAUGUCAGGAUUGUAACAAAUCAGAACUCGUAACUCAACUCAGGAACCAAGUUCUGCCAGGGUUGAUUUGCUGCCUUCAAAACUGUCUCCUUUUAAUUUUGAACUUUCCUUCUCCUUUUUCCUUGUAAGAUACUUCCUCUUUCUCCGCCGAUCUACAGCUGUUGGAAGUCCUUCUCCACCAGGACUGUUUGCCGACCUACUGACUUUGCUGACUUUGCUGCUGUUUCCUUGCUUCUGCUUUCUGCCGUAGCUUUUCCAGCCUAGUUCUCAUCAACAGUGUACAACUCC
rnacentral:lncRNA from 1 species